CUUACUCUUCUCUUUCUUCCAAUCUUAAAGCAGUCCUUGCCCUAUCAGUCAGUACUCAGUUCUCCAUGGUUUCGGAAGAAUGUAUCUUGCUACUUAGCUACCAUAGACUUAAGCAGAGCCACUCUGUACAGUUGUUUUUGGAUCUCUGGAAAGUUCUUACACAGUGUGAGGAGAAUUAGUUUAACCUGAGCUCAACAAAACUUACAGGUUUACUAAUUGUUCUUCAGGACUCAGAUGUUAGUCUUUGGUCAGGCCAAACCAAAAGUUGUUUAGACGCUAGUUAUCACAUUCUUUCUUUUUCUUCCUUUUGGUGCCUGUUGAAAGAAAGCCCGUCUUUCCAGAAAAUGACCCCUUACCCCUCAGUCCUCCCUUUACAUGGCACAUUAGUUUUACUCUUGAAAGAUGAACUUUAAGCAGAAAUUCCCGGCUGUGACUUUUCUUUGGCUUCCCGUGUUUGACAGGAGGUACAUAGACUGAAAAUGCCAGCUCCCGGACAUGAAGGUGCUCCGCAGGAUUCCCUGUGGGAUCCUCUUUUCUGCUGAAAGACUGCAUGUUCUCUGAUCCAGAGGAUCAAAAAGGAAAAACAAUUUGGCCUCAGAUGAUAUUUACCCCAAGUGGCUGGCCGAGAACAAAGAAGAGGCAGUGGUUAUAAAGCUGGAAGAAACCCCCAAGAUCAUAGAAUACAGUAUAUCCUUUGUAACAGAUGAGGAUCCUGGGCCAGAGAAGUGAAGCAGGGCACAGUGAUUCUCAAGGAAAGAAGGUGGCAC
rnacentral:lncRNA from 1 species